GCCGGUGUAGCUCAGUGGCAGAGCAGCGGUUUCGUAAACCGCAGGUCAAGGGUUCGACUCCCUUCACCGGCUCCA
rnacentral:tRNA from 2 species